rnacentral:rRNA from 1 species
AUACCUACGGGAGGCAGCAGUGGGGGAUAUUGCACAAUGGGGGAAACCCUGAUGCAGCGACGCCGCGUGGGCGAAGAAGUAUUUCGGUAUGUAAAGCCCUAUCAGCAGGGAAGAAGAAAUGACGGUACCUGAGUAAGAAGCACCGGCUAAAUACGUGCCAGCAGCCGCGGUAAUACGUAUGGUGCAAGCGUUAUCCGGAUUUACUGGGUGUAAAGGGAGCGUAGACGGCCAUGCAAGCCAGGGGUGAAAGCCCGGGGCCCAACCCCGGGACUGCCCUUGGAACUGUGCGGCUAGAGUGCGGGAGG